AGAGUUUGAUCCUGGCUCAGGACGAACGCUGGCGGCGUGCCUAAUACAUGCAAGUUGAGCGCUGAAGAUUGGUACUUGUACCGAUUGGAUGAGCAGCGAACGGGUGAGUAACGCGUGGGGAAUCUGCCUUUGAGCGGGGGACAACAUUUGGAAACGAAUGCUAAUACCGCAUAAUAGCUUUAAACAUAAGUUUUAAGUUUGAAAGAUGCAAUUGCAUCACUCAAAGAUGAUCCCGCGUUGUAUUAGCUAGUUGGUGAGGUAAAGGCUCACCAAGGCGAUGAUACAUAGCCGACCUGAGAGGGUGAUCGGCCACAUUGGGACUGAGACACGGCCCAAACUCCUACGGGAGGCAGCAGUAGGGAAUCUUCGGCAAUGGACGAAAGUCUGACCGAGCAACGCCGCGUGAGUGAAGAAGGUUUUCGGAUCGUAAAACUCUGUUGUUAGAGAAGAACGACGAGGAGAGUGGAAAGCUCCUCGUGUGACGGUAUCUAACCAGAAAGGGACGGCUAACUACGUGCCAGCAGCCGCGGUAAUACGUAGGUCCCGAGCGUUGUCCGGAUUUAUUGGGCGUAAAGCGAGCGCAGGUGGUUUAUUAAGUCUGGUGUAAAAGGCAGUGGCUCAACCAUUGUAUGCAUUGGAAACUGGUAGACUUGAGUGCAGGAGAGGAGAGUGGAAUUCCAUGUGUAGCGGUGAAAUGCGUAGAUAUAUGGAGGAACACCGGUGGCGAAAGCGGCUCUCUGGCCUGUAACUGACACUGAGGCUCGAAAGCGUGGGGAGCAAACAGGAUUAGAUACCCUGGUAGUCCACGCCGUAAACGAUGAGUGCUAGAUGUAGGGAGCUAUAAGUUCUCUGUAUCGCAGCUAACGCAAUAAGCACUCCGCCUGGGGAGUACGACCGCAAGGUUGAAACUCAAAGGAAUUGACGGGGGCCCGCACAAGCGGUGGA
rnacentral:rRNA from 1 species